GAUAAACGCUGGCGGCGCACAUAAGACAUGCAAGUCGAACGGAAGUCGUUGUAAUGAUAUAGACAUGGACGGAGAACUUGUUCAAAGAAAGUGAAAGUUGACUUACAACAAUGGCUUUAGUGGCGGACUGGUGAGUAACACGUAAGCAACCUACCUAUCAGAGGGGAACAACAGUUAGAAAUGACUGCUAAUACCGCAUAUGCCUAAGUAUCGCAUGGUACAAUAGGGAAAGGAGCAAUCUGCUGAUAGAUGGGCUUGCGUCUGAUUAGAUAGUUGGUGGGGUAACGGCCGUACCAAGUCAACGAUCAGUAGCCGGACUGAGAGGUUGAACGGCCACAUUGGGACUGAGAUACGGCCCAGACUCCUACGGAGGCAGCAGUCGGGAAUAUUGCGCAAUGGAGGAAACUCUGACGCAGUGACGCCGCGUGCAGGAAGAAGGUUUUCGGAUUGUAAACUGCUUUAGACAGGGAAGAACAAAGACAGU
rnacentral:rRNA from 1 species